rnacentral:rRNA from 1 species
UGGGGAAUAUUGGACAAUGGGCGAAAGCCUGAUCCAGCCAUGCCGCGUGUGUGAAGAAGGUCUUCGGAUUGUAAAGCACUUUAAGUUGGGAGGAAGGGCAGUAAGCGAAUACCUUGCUGUUUUGACGUUACCGACAGAAUAAGCACCGGCUAACUCUGUGCCAGCAGCCGCGGUAAUACAGAGGGUGCAAGCGUUAAUCGGAAUUACUGGGCGUAAAGCGCGCGUAGGUGGUUCGUUAAGUUGAAUGUGAAAGCCCCGGGCUCAACCUGGGAACUGCAUCCAAAACUGGCGAGCUAGAGUAGGGCAGAGGGUGGUGGAAUUUCCUGUGUAGCGGUGAAAUGCGUAGAUAUAGGAAGGAACACCAGUGGCGAAGGCGACCACCUGGGCUCAUACUGUCACUGAGGUGCGAAAGAGUGGGGAGCAAACAGG